CUGGUGGACCCUGGGCUGCCGAAGGGGAACGUGCGCACUUAACUGCUGCACCACCGGACGGCCUCGACUCAACUUGGGUGAUUUAUAUGUGAAGCUGUUGCUGGCAGCUGUUUGCACCACAUUCUAAGAGCAUUUUGGAGAGGGGUCCUUUGGGCUGCUUUCUCAAAGGAAGAACAGACUGGUUUGGCUGGAACCAGAGAGCACUGGAAACACAGGUUGGGGUCAUAGCAUGGGCAGAUUUAAUACCAGGGCUCUCCGCAGGGUGAGUGGGGCUGUCUGGUUCUGAAAUGGAAUUAUGCGCUACA
rnacentral:lncRNA from 1 species